rnacentral:lncRNA from 1 species
AGGUGUCACUACAACAGAAUUAGGUUAUAGGGACACAUGUUUGGGACACUUUUGAGUAAGUGUCCCAUUUAUGCUAAAACUUAAAAACAUAUCUACUAAUGCCUAAAUAUAAAGCCCAAUCCAACCAAAAAUAAAAGAUCACUCUACUCAACCCACCACACCCAGUCCAUUUGGCCCGAUUACAAACAGAAAAGAAAAAAAAAGGAUAAAUCAAUUACCAACUUUUCUUCUCUCUUCACUCAAUCCACUGAAAUUCUAGACGAAGAGCCUUUACUGUCGUUGUCCUCCGCCACCGCAGCCAACGAGAUAGAGUUUCGGCGGUGCUAAAUGCUUAAAUAAGUGUUGGUAAAUUAGCAGCACUCUUUUAGGUUAUAGCGACACUCUUUAACUGUCACUAUAUACCUAGCGACCCCACAUAUAGCAACACUUUUUAAAAGUGUCGGUAAUUUUAGCUAGCAGCACUUUUUUGACAUGUACCUACAUUUAAAAGUGUCGCUAUAGACCUUUUUUGUUGUAGUGUGUAGUGAGAAUCUAUUUAAAAUCACUACAACAGAAUUAGGUUAUCGGGACACAUGUUUGGGACACUUUUGUCUAAGUGUCCCAUUUAUGUCAAAAUUUUAAAAAGCAUCUACUAAUGCCUAAAUAUAAAGUCGAAUCCAACAAAAAAUAAAAUGUUACUAUACUCAACCCACCCAACCCAGCCCAUUUGACCCGAUUCCAAAUAGAAAAGAAAAAAAAAAAAGAAAAUUCAUUUUCCAUCUCCCCUUCUCCCCUUACUCAAUCCACUGAAAUUCUAGACGAAGGGCCCUUCCCUCUCGUCCUCCUUCGUCACCGCAGCCAACGAGAUAGAGUUCCGGCUGUUGCUGGAUGCUUAAAUAAGUGUUGCUAAAUUAGCAGCACUUUUUUAGGUUAUAGCGACACUCUUUAACUGUCACUAUAUAUCUAGCGACCUCACAUAUAGCAACACUUUUUAAAAGUGUCGGUAAUUUAGCUAGCAGCACUUUUUUUAACCUAUACCGAUAUUUAAAAGUGUCGCUAUAAACCGUUUUUGUUGUAGUGAAUAUACACUAAUGAAAUUAUUAAUGCUUCUACAAAUAGCUCCAACUAAGUUGAUUAAACAGGCUUGCAUGCAAUUAUUGAU